rnacentral:rRNA from 1 species
UAUGUGAUCGUCUCUCGCAUAUCAAUAAGCGGAGGAAAAGAAACUAACAAGGAUUCCCCUAGUAACGGCGAGUGAAGCGGGAAGAGCUCAAAUUUGAAAUCUUAAAGGGUUUCCCUUUACGAAUUGUAGUUUAAAGAAGUGUUUUCUGUUGAGGUUUUGGUAAAAGUUCUUUGGAAUAGGACAUCAUAGAGGGUGAGAAUCCCGUAUUUGACCUUUACUUUCAACUUUGUGAUACACUUUCAAAGAGUCGGAUUGUUUGGGAAUGCAGUCCAAAAUGGGUGGUAAAUUUCAUCUAAAGCUAAAUAUUGGCGAGAGACCGAUAGCGAACAAGUACCGUGAGGGAAAGAUGAAAAGAACUUUGAAAAGAGAGUUAAACAGGUACGUGAAAUUGUCAAAAGGGAAGCGUUUGACACCAGUGUUGUUUUUCUGAAAAUCAAUUAAAGAACUGUUUAUGCUAAGUUGUUUAGACUUUAUCAGCUAACUGUUUAGUUUUGAGCUUUUCUUUAAUGCACUUUUCAGUUAACAAGUCAACAUCAAUUUCUUUUGCUGUAAAAAAGCUUGAGGAAGGUGGCUUGAGAUUCGUCUUAAGUGUUUAUAGCCUCUUGCCUAUGCAGUCGGAGAGAUUGAGGUCUGCAGCGUAGAUCCUUCGGGGCUAAAUGCAUUUGUGCUAAGUUAUAGCAUUUUAUAGACAACUUGUUGACUAUGAUUUGUCUUGUAGCUUACUCACUUAUGUUAUUUUACCUACGCUUAGGAUGUUGAAGACUCUACAGAGAUA